GAUGAACGCUGGCGGCGUGCCUAAUACAUGCAAGUCGAGCGAACGGACGAGAAGCUUGCUUCUCUGAUGUUAGCGGCGGACGGGUGAGUAACACGUGGAUAACCUACCUAUAAGACUGGGAUAACUUCGGGAAACCGGAGCUAAUACCGGAUAAUAUUUUGAACCGCAUGGUUCAAAAGUGAAAGACGGUCUUGCUGUCACUUAUAGAUGGAUCCGCGCUGCAUUAGCUAGUUGGUAAGGUAACGGCUUACCAAGGCAACGAUGCAUAGCCGACCUGAGAGGGUGAUCGGCCACACUGGAAGUGAGACACGGUCCAGACUCCAACGGGAGGCAGCAGUAGGGAAUCUUCCGCAAUGGGCGGAAGCCUGACGGAGCAACGCCGCGUGAGUGAUGAAGGUCUUCGGAUCGUAAAACUCUGUUAUUAGGGAAGAACAUAUGUGUAAGUAACUGUGCACAUCUUGACGGUACCUAAUCAGAAAGCCACGGCUAACUACGUG
rnacentral:rRNA from 1 species